CGGCCCACACAGGGUUUUGAUGAGUGCUUUUCAUUCAUGGAUCAGGGAGGGCUUCACAAAGGAGAGCUAUAAAUAAGACAGAUGGGAGUGAGGAAUGGAGCGGGGCUUUUAAAGGGCAGUAGGUUGUUCCUUUAAGGGUUUCUGGAGCUGAGGACUCUUUAAGAGCUCUCAUUUUAUGGAAAAUAAAAUAUUUUUGCAGUAGCACACUGUGCCAAAUAACUUGUGCAUAGAUAUUUACAUUGUCGGGGGAAAGUUUUGUCGUGCUGUGUACAAAUUGUUUCUAGCUAGGCUUUCAGAAAACACAAAAAGCAAAGCAUUUAAUGUUACAUAUUAACAUAGCAUGCACAUGUUUUAGGCACUUUUAAAUUGAACAGAUCAAAGCCUUUCAUUCCUAAAUGCCAGAAUCCGGUGAUAUUUGUGUAACCAUGCAAUUUGACCUGUCUGUUUUACAUGUUCCCAAAGGGGUUAUUAUAGGCAGCUUUCAAAUUAAGUGGGCUGGAACAUUUGCUGCUCCCUUCCCUCGUUUUCAAAGCCUGUGCAGAGCCCAUACUGCGUGACUGACGCUGCUGUUCGAGUGGUAGCAGUGGGGUUUUGUCACAAGGUACAUAACACAGCGAAGGAAGGGACAUUAUCCCUGGCUCUGUCACUCCAAGGCAGCUGUUUCGUUGCUGUGUCCUUCAUCCUUCCCCUCCACAGAGCUGGGAGCAAUAUUUCCUCAUCCUCUGAGGUGUCUCAAAGCUUAUUUCACUGUACAAAAAGGAACGGGCACCUUGCAAUCAAAAGGGUCGGCAGGAUUAGGACAACAUCUGUGUGUACUGUGGCAGCCAUGGUUCCCAUCAUUUUUUGAUGAAUGGACCUCUACCAACUUUCCGUGUUCCUCUCAGAACACCAUGCACCACUAUUACCUGAAAACUAAUUGGAAACAUUAAUGGAAACAUUGCUUAAUGUAGCUCCAGAGACCAGCUAUGAAUUAAUUGCUACAGCUAACUGUAACCCAUCCAGAAUUUAUUUUGAACCACCUCAGGUGCUGAGAACAGACUGCAUGGACGGCAGAAGGAAUGAUCUAGACCCAGCAACUGAUCUCCAGUCCUGAAGAGUGGUGUAUGAUGUCGUUUUACGGUGUUAGACCCCUGCUGAUGGGACUAUAUUGUAUAUAUAAAGAGUUUUGGCAUUAGCCAUUUCCCCAGAGUUCUCUUCUUUUGUAGGAAGUGGCUCAUGUUCCUUCUUUUACAUACUUGAUUUAUUAUUUCAGGUCUCUGAAAGUGUGCUCUUUUUCUGCAAUGAUCAGUGAGGCAAUAUCUGCAGAAUAUGGUAAACAACAUCGGGGCCAUUAUCUUGUUCAAGGCUGACUGGCAUGGUUGGAUACAGCUAUAUUUAUAAGCUUUAGCAUUCAAAACAGGAUGGUCUCAUCCAGGCUGGGACUGUUUCAAGGCCUGAAUCAUAUUAUGAAUGGUGUACAGGAAUUGUUUGUGAAAAUGGUGGUUGUCUGAGAUAAGACCAUAACUCUUCUAGCAGGGUAAGAUAGGGAGGAUUCAGCCCCAGUGCCCAAGAACUUUUCCUGCUCUGUUCUAUUCAUCUGUAUGGGGGCAACCUGCAUGGCAGUUCUGGUGAUUUAUAUUAAAAUAAAAACAAUGUCUUUAAAAAACA
rnacentral:lncRNA from 1 species